AUUGAACGCUAGCGGGAUGCCUUACACAUGCAAGUCGAACGGAUUGGCGAACGGGUGAGUAAUGUAUCGGAACGUGCCCAGUAGCGGGGGAUAACUACGCGAAAGCGUAGCUAAUACCGCAUACUAUUGGAUCGGUCGAUAUCGGAUUAGCUAGUUGUGGGGGUACGGGCUCACCAAGGCGACGAUCCGUAUCUGGUUUGAGAGGACGACGAGCCACACUGGGACUGAGACACGGCCCAGACUCCUACGGGAGGCAGCAGUGGGGAAUUUUGGACAAUGGGGGAAACCCUGAUCCAGCCAUCCCGCGUGUGCGAUGAAGGCCUUCGGGUUGUAAAGCACUUUUGGCAGGAAAGCGGUACCUGCAGAAUAAGCACCGGCUAACUACGUGCCAGCAGCCGCGGUAAUAC
rnacentral:rRNA from 1 species